UUAUAUAUAUCAAAUCGUCAUAUUACACCAAUAUCAUGUUAUCUCUAAAACAUUAAUAAAAUCGGCAUAUAAUAAGAAGCGUGCAUUAAAUGCAUUCCAAAAUCUAAAAUAACCAACAGUUUAGAAAAAGGCUUUCUAUGCAAUCAUGUAAAAAUAUUUUGCAUUCAAGCAGGUAUUAACAUACAAUAUCCAUUAUCUAAAAUAGUGUGGCAAAUUAAAAUUACAGUUAAAAUAAACAUCUACAUCUACAUCUUUCACCCAACCGUCGAUUUCCGAUAUAUAUUGUAUAACAUUUUCUAACAUCUCUAUUUUUAUAACGUCUUGGUAAUGUUUCAUAACAAGUCUGCUUUUAGAUAAAGAAUAAGUUCUCAAUUUUUUUCCAGUUUCAUUUUGACAACAUUUCAGUAUUUUCUCAGUAAAUUGUUUUUUAAACAAAGUAGCAAGCUUAGUCUUUACAAUCUUAUGCAAUCGUUUAUCAUGUACAUCCUAAUUUGCAACUCCAAGAUAUUUGAAAAUAAACUUUAUACUGGAAAUUCAGCUAGCUUUAUUGGCAUUAUACAAUAUUAGAUUGCAUCAAUUUAGUGCACAUUCUAGCAUAAAACUGCUGUUCUUGUCACUUUUCGGGGGUGUUUUAACAGGACAGAAAACGUGUGUAAACAGAGAGAUUCUCGCGCUCACUUGCUGUUAUAACACCUUUUUAUAUAUCCGCGUUCCGUGGCAAAGCGUAAACGUCAUUCGGUCCCAAAACGGAUAGUUCAAAACGAAAUGAGUCUACGUAAAAAACAACUCAGACAUUCCCGUGCAUUUUGUGGGAAGUUAAUGACGUUGAGAGACAUUGUAUCCAUUUAUCAGUUUUUACGCAUUUUAUGCUAGAAUAGCGUUAGCGCAUGUUCAUUUCGUGUUGUAACAUUUGCAGAAUCCCUAGGGAUACGUUGGUACCCUCGCCCUAACGGGCUCGGGUACCAACCAAUCCCUCGGGAAUCUGCAGAUGUUAUAGCACGAAAAAACAUGCGUUAUCCCUACAAUUCAACAAACUAUCAGUAUCAGAUGUAACUAAUCUAUAAAAUAUUUCACAGUACUUAUCAUUAUAUCAAUAUGUAUUUAUGGGAAUCUACCCAACUCGCCCAUAGCAGUAUUAUUUGCUGCUUUUUCAUGUACUCCUAAUACAUUUCAAAUAUUUGACAUGUAUUUUUUUACAAAGCAAAUCAUUACUAGUAUUAAAAAAUAUAAUUUGAUUUUUUAACCUUUACAGAGUUUGUGUUUAUUGUUCCCCAUAUUUCACUUGAAUAUAAUGCUACCGCCUCGGUAGCCUAGUGGUAGGGUGUCCGCUUCGAGUGCGAGAGGUCGUGGGUUCGAUCAUACCAAAGACGUAAAAAAUGGUACUAGUAGCUUCCUCGCUUGACGCUCAGCAUUAAGAAGACUGGUCAGCCCGGUGUCAGUAUAAUGUGACUGGGUGGGGUAUCAUGCCACGUGUCUACGGCGUGAUAUUCCAGUGAGGCAGCAAUAUAAAGUUGGGCACUGUGCUCACUGCUACAAGUAGACACCGUCGUUUAUAUGACUGAAAAAUUGUUGAAAAAGACGUUAAACCCGAACACACACACAUGCACAGGCUUUACAGUGUGGUCAAAUAAAUGCAAAAUAGUUCUUACUCCAAAAUGUUUAGACAGUUUAAAAUUUGCUUUUAAAACUCUUUUACAUAGAUCGUUUUGACAAUAUGAAAAUGCUCCAGAAGAUGAAAAUAAUAUACCUAGGUACCUUUAAUUAUAUCGAAACAUUUUUCAGUUCUAAAAGAAAUAUUUAGUAAUCGACAAUCUCCCAGAUUUAAAAAAGUCGCAAUAUUAGUUUCGUUCAAAUUUACACUUAAACCAUAAUGUUCCCUAUAAUUAGCAACCUUUCUAAUACAAUUCUGUUAUCCUUUCUCACUGGUUGACAACAAAACAAGAUCGUCUGCAUACAGUAAACAACUGAAGUUCAUAUUUCCUAAAGACACUUGAUCAUCCUCAUCCGUUCAUCCUCAUCCGUAAAACAUUUAGGAAGGUCAUUCAAACAUAAAUAAAAAUUACCUCCCUGUCUUAAUCAUAUUUGUUUAAAUAUGGUUCAGUUAACACAUUACCAAGGCGAAUUGCUUAUACAGAGAUAAUGUUGAUUCUGGAUUAGUUAUUGACGAUAUUGUAUUAAUUUUGUUAAGAUAUGUUAGUUUUAGCAAAAUCAAUGGAAGAAUUACACACCAAUUUAAACCUACUAUGUAAUUAUUGUAGUAAAUGGGAAUUAGAGGUAAACACUGAAAAAAAUAAAAUUAUGGUAUUUAAGAAAAGGGGAGGACUACUACAGAAUGAAAAUUAUAAUGAUUUCUCGGAAGCACUGAGCACCUAAAACACAGCCUCAGAGCCACGUAUUAAUAACAAAGUAGGCCCACAACAAACAGAAGCUGUAAUGGAAAAAUAUUACAGACAGGUUGCUUCAAACAUAUAACAAGUACAUAUUAUUUUAUGUGAAAUAUAGAUAGAGGGUGAGGAAGUGGUAAAAUGGUGGGGUGUGGGGGGAAGGAAUUUAAAGAGGAAAGAAGAACAAGGAUGAAAAUACAAAGGGAAUGUUACGUUCUUUAAUAACAGUCACACUACAACGCAAGAGCAGACACUCGUGACACUCGUGUACCACAAUCAAACACACAGCCAUACCCAACUAAAUAACAUAGAAAACAGUAGGGCACCAGAACUGGGUGACACAUGUUAAAGCACUAUUAUGUAACUAUGGAUUUUCCUAUGUAUGGGAUACUCCCAUGUCGGUUGAUAAAAACUUUGUAUAUAUUUUCAAGCAACGGGUGAUAGGCUGUUUCAUUCGAGGUUGAUUUGUAAAUAAGGAAACUAGCAGUGUGUUAGAUAUGUAUAAAAAUUGUAAAAAUACUUUUGAUUACGCGAUAUAUUUAGAUAUUUUAGGUUUUAUAUCACUGGAUAAAGAAUCGCUGCACAUAACUUAGAAUUCAGACAGGUAGAUAUUUCAGAAAUAGAAUACCUAGAAAUGAAAGAUAUUGUCGAUGCUGUCACUCUGUACACUUAGAAGAUGAAUUUCACUUUAUUAUCAAAUGCCCGUACUAUUUAGAAUUACGCAAGAAAUAUACUGCAAAAUACUAUUAUUAUGCUAGACCAAGCAUGUAUAGAUUCUUGGAUUUGAUUCAAUCUGAAAAUAAAAUGGUAUUUUAUAAAUUAGCGAAAAAAGAAUGCACUGUGUAAGAGAAACUCUAUUCUGAAUACUAUUGCAAAUUAGUCAUAUACUGUUCAUCCUCAAUUGUUGUUUUCUUUUGUUUAUUGCCACUGACAUAUAACUUGUCAAGUAUAUAAACUAGUCAUUGAUCAUCAGUGAUCAUGUGAUGGUUUGUAUUUGUAAAUAUGCUAUGUAUAUAUUGCCGACGAUGUACUUUGUACAAGUCAUAAUAAACUAUAUGUUCUGUUC